AGUCGAGCGGUAGAGAGAAGCUUGCUUCUCUUGAGAGCGGCGGACGGGUGAGUAAUGCCUAGGAAUCUGCCUGGUAGUGGGGGAUAACGCUCGGAAACGGACGCUAAUACCGCAUACGUCCUACGGGAGAAAGCAGGGGACCUUCGGGCCUUGCGCUAUCAGAUGAGCCUAGGUCGGAUUAGCUAGUUGGUGAGGUAAUGGCUCACCAAGGCGACGAUCCGUAACUGGUCUGAGAGGAUGAUCAGUCACACUGGAACUGAGACACGGUCCAGACUCCUACGGGAGGCAGCAGUGGGGAAUAUUGGACAAUGGGCGAAAGCCUGAUCCAGCCAUGCCGCGUGUGUGAAGAAGGUCUUCGGAUUGUAAAGCACUUUAAGUUGGGAGGAAGGGCAGUAACCUAAUACGUUAUUGUUUUGACGUUACCGACAGAAUAAGCACCGGCUAACUCUGUGCCAGCAGCCGCGGUAAUACAGAGGGUGCAAGCGUUAAUCGGAAUUACUGGGCGU
rnacentral:rRNA from 1 species